rnacentral:rRNA from 1 species
AUGGACCAUUCCAUCCCUUUUUCCCGUGCAUAUGCAUCGGAUUCGGAUGACGAAGGUCCCGAUGAACAAGUUGAUGAGGAGGGGUUCACGGUGAAGGCCGAAGCUUUCGAGAAGGUAUUCGGUCGGGAUCACAAGACAUCAUUGUUCAAGGAUGUUAGUCUUGCGGAUGAAGCCGUUGUGGAUGGUGGAAAAUCUAUAUCUCUUGGGGUUAGGCCAAGCUCUCAC